GAUGAACGCUAGCGACAGGCUUAACACAUGCAAGUCGAGGGGCAGCAUAAAAGUAGCAAUACUUUGGUGGCGACCGGCGCACGGGUGAGUAACGCGUAUGCAACCUACCUAUCAGAGGGGGAUAACCCGGCGAAAGUCGGACUAAUACCGCAUAAAACAGGGGCACCGCAUGGUGAUAUUUGUUAAAAAUUUAUUGCUGAUAGAUGGGCAUGCGUUCCAUUAGGUAGUUGGAGAGGUAACGGCUCACCAAGCCUACGAUGGAUAGGGGAACUGAGAGGUUGGUCCCCCACACUGGUACUGAGACACGGACCAGACUCCUACGGGAGGCAGCAGUGAGGAAUAUUGGUCAAUGGGCGAGAGCCUGAACCAGCCAAGUCGCGUGAAGGAAGAAGGAUCUAUGGUUCGUAAACUUCUUUUGCAGGGGAAUAAAGUGCAGGACGUGUCCUGUUUUGUAUGUACCCUGAGAAUAAGGAUCGGCUAACUCCGUGCCAGCAGCCGAC
rnacentral:rRNA from 1 species